GACGAACGCUGGCGGCGCGCUUAACACAUGCAAGUCGAGCGAGAACCAGGCCUUCGGGCCUGGGGAAAGCGGCGAACGGGUGAGUAACACGUGGGUAAUCUGCCCUCGGCACCGGAAUAGCCCGGGGAAACCCGGAUUAAUGCCGGAUAGCCUCUCGAGCCCUCGGACUCGUGAGAAAAGGUAGCUUCGGCCUCUGGCCGAGGAGGAGCCCGCGGCGGAUUAGCUUGUUGGUGGGGUAACAGCUCACCAAGGCGACGAUCCGUAGCUGGUCUGAGAGGACGAUCAGCCACACUGGGACUGAGACACGGCCCAGACUCCUACGGGAGGCAGCAGUGGGGAAUCUUGCGCAAUGGGCGAAAGCCUGACGCAGCGACGCCGCGUGCGGGAAGAAGGCCUUCGGGUUGUAAACUCCUUUCGUGAGGGAAAAAGUCCCGAGCAAUCGGGAUGAUGGUACCUCAGGAAGAAGCCACGGCUAACUCUGUGCCAGCAGCCGCCGUAACAC
rnacentral:rRNA from 1 species